rnacentral:tRNA from 1 species
GGCUGUGUGGCGAAAUGGCAUCGCGUCUGACUACAAAUCAGGAGAUUGCAGGUUCGACCCCUGUCUCGGUCA